AGAGUUUGAUCAUGGCUCAGAACGAACGCUGGCGGCGCGUUUUAAGCAUGCAAGUCGAACGGUAGGGGAGCUUCGGCUCUCCGAGAGUGGCGAACGGGUGAGUAACACGUAGGUUAUCUACCUUUGGGUGGGGGAUAGCCCAUGGAAACAUGGGGUAAUACCGCAUAAAGCCCUUCGGGGUUAAAGGAGCAAUUGCUCCGCCUGGAGAUGAGCCUGCGGUCCAUUAGCUAGUUGGCGGGGUAAAGGCCCACCAAGGCGACGAUGGAUAGCCGGCCUGAGAGGGUGAACGGCCACACUGGGACUGAGACACGGCCCAGACUCCUACGGGAGGCAGCAGCUAAGAAUCUUCCGCAAUGGGGGAAACCCUGACGGAGCGACGCCGCGUGGACGAUGAAGGCCGGAAGGUUGUAAAGUCCUUUUCUCUGAGAAGAAUAAGGUGGGGAGUGGAAUGCCCUGCUGAUGACGUUAUCAGAGGAAUAAGCCCCGGCCAAUUACGUGCCAGCAGCCGCGGUAACACGUAUGGGGCGAGCGUUGUUCGGAAUUAUUGGGCGUAAAGGGCGUGUAGGCGGCCUGUUAAGCUUGGUGUUAAAGGCUCCGGCUCAACCGGAGUUUGGCGCUGAGAACUGGCAGGCUAGAGUUUUGGAGGGGGAGCUGGAAUUCCAGGUGUAGGGGUGAAAUCUGUAGAUAUCUGGAAGAACACCGGUGGCGAAGGCGAGCUCCUGGCCAUGAACUGACGCUGAGGCGCGAAAGCGUGGGGAGCGAACAGGAUUAGAUACCCUAGUAGUCC
rnacentral:rRNA from 1 species